rnacentral:miRNA from 1 species
CAUUCACCGCGUGCCUUAAUU